rnacentral:snRNA from 1 species
UUGCUUUGGCAGCACAUACACUAGAAUUGGAAUGACACAGAGAGCAUCAGCAAGGCCCCUGCAUGAGGAUGACACACCUUCAUGAAGUUUCCAUAUUUUC